rnacentral:sRNA from 1 species
GUCUAGCCCUGAUAGUAGCGACAUCUUUUUUUUGAUUUCUUUAGACAAGAAAAGAUAUAGCGAAUAGCAGGACACGAA